rnacentral:miRNA from 1 species
CCAAUGACAAGUAUUUUCGGA